rnacentral:lncRNA from 1 species
CUGGCAAAGACUGCAUAAUCUGGGAAACGUCGCUAUCAGAUUCUUAUAAAUUCAAGAUAGAAUUUCUCAGAAAUGAAUAACUUCCUUCUAGUUUUUUUUUUCUGCUUCUUCUAAACAAUUUAAUUUCAUACGUAAUACUUCUUCUAAAUCAUGUAAUAUUUCUGACUGAACAUUUGUUGCCGCUUCUGAUAGAGACUGUUUGCCUUGGAAUUAAUUUUUGUAGCAGUGCUUUGAUGUUUCGUAUCUUUCGAAUUUUUUUCUGGUUUUCUAUUAAGCAUUCUUCCACCAAAGGAUUAUCUACGCCUGAAGAUGUAUUAUUCAUUGCAUAUAUCGGUAUUCUUGUUGCGAAUGAACAAACCACACUCAGUAAUCAGUAUCAUCAUCAUAUUGGAUAAGCAUCCAUAGUCAUGCGAUCUAUCAUCCUGAUUAAAGUCUCUUCAAAGUUAUUCUCAAAAAUACUACCAUUUACCAUUUAUCUUUGGCGUUUCUUUUCACUUUUCCCUCGCGGUCCUUUUCCGCUUUCAAAAUUCAUAUUCUCUCCAAGGUUAUUUUCAACAAAAUUGACUGAUUUAUGUUUUCGGUACGUUGUAUUCCUUCGACGUAAUUUUCACGAACACUCCUAUCCGCCAUAUAUGUCGAUGGAACGAUCCCUGAUUAAAGUAGGCCAUUUAUAAGGUAAGAUGUUUAAAAUGUACUUAUUAACUAAUUUUUUGGUUUUUACAUCGUUUUUAUUAUUUCUAGGAUUGUCAGUUCCUCCAGUUUUUCCCAGGCUGGGAAUUGGGUACAUCCUCUGUCCUAAGUAUAUUAUGACAUCUAAGAAUAGCGAAUCUGCCCGCCAUUCUUUGCUUAGGUAUAUCGUCUCCGAAAUUAGAAGGAAAUUCGUCCGCUAUCUACUUUUUGCCUGCUCGGAGCGUAUGGAAGACGAUUUAGUGACGUGACCUGUUCGCCUCGCCGCGCCGCGUUUCUGCUCGCUCCGACAGCAUCUAAGAUGGCGGCGUUCUUCCUCCGUUAAGUACUUUUCCUCGUAUUUACUAAUCGGUUCCGCUUUCGCGAUUCCUUUUCGCGUUAAUUCA